rnacentral:rRNA from 1 species
UACGGAGGGGGCUAGCGUUGUUCGGAAUUACUGGGCGUAAAGCGCACGUAGGCGGCUUUGUAAGUUAGAGGUGAAAGCCCGGGGCUCAACUCCGGAAUUGCCUUUAAGACUGCAUCGCUAGAAUUGUGGAGAGGUAAGUGGAAUUCCGAGUGUAGAGGUGAAAUUCGAUAGAUAUUCGGAAGAACACAGUGGCGAAGGCGACUUACUGGACACAUAUUGACGCUGAGGUGGCGAAAGCGUGGGGAGCAAACAGG